rnacentral:rRNA from 1 species
UACGGAGGGUGCGAGCGUUGUUCGGAAUCAUUGGGCGUAAAGGGCGCGUAGGUGGUUCUGUAUGUCUACCGUGAAAGCGUACGGCUCAACUGUAUUUUGUCGGUGGAAACUGCAGGACUUGAGGCUGGGAGGGGCUGGUGGAAUUCCCUGUGUAGCGGUGAAAUGCGUAGAGAUGGGGAGAACACUCGUGGCGAAGGCGGCCAGCUAGACCAGUUCUGACACUGAGGCGCGACAGCGUGGGGAGCAAACAGG